GUCAGCGACCCCACCGGUAAACCGGGGGGCUUGUGGGAGACUACCCUGAGUGGUCUUGGCUGCGAGCCCCGAUGCUGACCAGCCCCCGGUGUGCUCGCACACCGGAGCCGUUCAGAAGGAGCGCGAAAAAGCAGACCCUGGAGUGGCUUUUCCAGCUCCCGGCUCUUUAAUUGCUCAGUUAAACAGGUUGAUGGGGUGUCCAAAGCCAGUGCUGAGCAAAGAUCGCCGCUUCUGACACCCGGGCGAGGAAAACAUUAC
rfam:Ktedonobacter racemifer DSM 44963 Krac_Contig203, whole genome shotgun sequence.